CCUACGGGAGGCAGCAGUGGGGAAUAUUGCACAAUGGGGGAAACCCUGAUGCAGCCAUGCCGCGUGUGUGAAGAAGGCCUUCGGGUUGUAAAGCACUCUCAGCGAGGAGGAAAGGUUGGUAGCUAAUAACUGCCAGCUGUGACGUUACUCGCAGAAGA
rnacentral:rRNA from 1 species